rnacentral:rRNA from 1 species
GACGAACGCUGGCGGCGUGCUUAACACAUGCAAGUCGAACGAAAAGAGGGAAAGAGCUUGCUCUUUCCGGAAUUGAGUGGCAAACGGGUGAGUAACACGUAAACAACCUGCCUUCAGGAUGGGGACAACAGACGGAAACGACUGCUAAUACCGAAUAAGUUCCAAGGGCCGCAUGGCCCAUGGAAGAAAAGGUGGCCUCUACCUGUAAGCUAUCGCCUGAAGAGGGGUUUGCGUCUGAUUAGCUGGUUGGGGGGGUAACGGCCCACCAAGGCGACGAUCAGUAGCCGGUCUGAGAGGAUGAACGGCCACACUGGGACUGGGACACGGUCCAGACUCCUACGGGAGGCAGCAGUGGGGGAUCUUCCGCAAUGGGCGAAAGCCUGACGGAGCAACGCCGCGGGAGUGAUGGCGGCCUUCGGGUUGUAAAACUCUGUGAUCCGGGACGAAAAGGCAGAGUGCGAAGAACAAACUGCAUUGACGGUACCGGAAAAGCAAGCCACGGCUAACUACGUG